rnacentral:tRNA from 1 species
GGAGGCGCAUUCGUUCUGGUGAACGGCGCGGUCUUCAAAACCGUCUGCGAGACUGUGAGAGCAGUUCUCGGGUGAGUUCGAUUCUCACACGCCUCCGCCA